rnacentral:sRNA from 1 species
GUAAUCAGGUAUGGGGAGAGCAGAUGUGCAGAAUAAACACAUCUUAAGGGAACCAAGUCUCAAGAGAAAUCAAGUAAUUAUGAAUGAACAGCUCUAAAAAAGAGGGAGAGAAUAUUUUCUUAAAUCAACUUAGUUGCUGUUAUGACCAAAGAACAGAUGUUGUGGUGUUCACCCCAGAGAAGCAAGAGAUUUUCCCUUAAACCUCAGCUUAUAAUGAAUGGAAGUGAAUGACAGGGAGAGAGUUUUUCUCUCGUUUCCCAGAACUCUAUCCUUUUCUUCUCAAACAGUUGGAAACUGUAGCCAAUGCAGUAGACAGUGAUAUGGGAGAACCAAAUCGUCAUCCAAGCAUGUUUCUCUUACUUUUGGUGUUGGAGAGACUCUACGCUUCCCCGAUGGAUGGUACUUCUUCUGCCCUCAGCAUGGGACCUUUUGUUCCCUUCAUUAUGAGGUGUGGUCACUCACCUGUCUACCACUCCCGUGAAAUGGCAGCUCGUGCCUUGGUCCCAUUUGUUAUGAUAGAUCACAUUCCUAAUACCAUUCGAACUCUGUUGUCCACACUCCCCAGCUGCACUGACCAGUGUUUCCGGCAAAACCACAUUCAUGGGACACUUCUCCAGGUUUUUCAUUUGUUGCAAGCCUACUCAGACUCCAAACACGGAACGAAUUCAGACUUCCAGCACGAGCUGACUGACAUCACU